rnacentral:lncRNA from 1 species
CAGCCACGGGACCAGCACUAACCUACCAGGCACUGAGCCACAGGUGACAUCACAACCACAAACUGCACCCACAGGACUUGCACUGGCCUAUCAGGCACUGAGCCACAAGUGACAUCACAAACACAAACUGCACCCACAGGACCAGCACUGGCCUAUCAGGCACUCAGCCACAAGUGACAUCACAACCACAAACUGCAGCCACAGGAACAGCACUGGCCUAUCAGGCACUGAGCCACAAGUG